UUUUUUUAAAAUCGGAUAACGAUAUCAUAUAGCAGCCAUAGGAACUCUAAUAAUUGAGCUGCAUAUCAUCAUAGCUUCAAUACUUUUAAAAAUACAAGCAAGUAAAUCAUAAUUUUAAUGUCUUCAAGAAUAUUUAAUUUUUGCAAUAGCUGCAAGGGUAUAUAAACUUCGACUUGCCGAAGUUUGACUCCUUUCUUGUUGUUUCAGAAUUAGGGUUAAAAUUUUAUUAAAAUUGGACGACUGUAUCAUAAAACUCCUAUGGUAAAAAAUAGCUUGUGGAUUUUUCAAUUUUUUUUUUAAUCUUAUGGCUUAAUAAAAAUAUAGUUUAAGAAUUACUCCCGUUUGAUAAUAUUGGAUUUAGUAUAAAUCCGGAAUCCGUUUGGAUUCAUUUCGAGUCUGUAAAGAACUAGUUAAUGAUAGCUUAAAUCUUCUCCAAGGAGGCCGGGCAGAAGGUCUAGCGCUACGAGCAGAAUGCUGACCCUUUACUUCACGUCCGAUGCAUAACCCGCCGCACAUCUCGACUGCCUUGGAGUGCUAAAAUUAUUCCUAUCAGGGUUAGCAUUUGUUACUUCCAAGCAGCGAGGCUUAUAAAUAUAUUGUUAUUCUAUUGUUAUCGCUCUCACUUUGACGAGAGCCGGAGCAGAGCAAUAGCAGAACAACGAAAAUGUAUGUGCUCUGAUCUGCUCUGCGUAGUCGUAGCAAUAGUACAAAAAAAUCAUUUGCUUUGCCCUCAUCUCGCUACGGCUACGCAGAGCACAGAAAUAAAUUUUUAUACCCUUGCAGAGGGUAUUAUAAUUUUGGUCAAAAGUUUGUAACGCAGUGAUAGAGACGUAUAUAUUCUUGAUCAGAAUCAAUAGUGGAGUCAAUAUAGCCAUGUCCGUCUGCCCGUCUGUCUGUCGGUUUCAAUGUAGCUGGAAUAUACGGGAGCGGGGGGUUUUUAACGGUUUUAUAAUCAGUUAAAUUUUUUCCAAAUUUCAUAAUCAGUGUACAUGAUAUCCGAUGGAACCCACUCGUUGUAUUUGAUUUCUUAAUAUUCUCGCCAAAUGUUCAGAUCGAUCAUUAUCGUUUGACAAAGUGAACGCGCAUACCCACGAACUAUAAUCUCAACCCCAACCCUCUUGUGCGUCCUGAUGACUGCUUGUGCGCGAAGGUGUGAAAUUAUAAUUUUGAUACUUUUGAUCAAAAAGUGCAAUUUUUAAUUAAGAAUCGUAAAAAGUAUAUCAUGGAAAAGGUCUUGACCCAAAAAAAUAAAAAUUGGUAUCAUUCGAAAGCAUUUUUUAAGACCUUUCCAAUGGUAAAAAACCUUUUACAAAAAUUUGAUAAUUUUUCAAUUAGUACACAACUGUUAGGUACUAGAGCACAUCAAAUCAAAUCUAGCGCUGUUCAAAAAUGGGCUUCUUUGAGACGCUGAACGAAUUGAAGAAUGUAUGUAUUGGAUUCGAGUAUAAGACCACUACAAGGACAACAAAGAUGUUUGGAUAUUUUUACCUAAACAAGAAAGAAAGCAAACUUCGGCAAGCCUAAGUUCAUAUACCCUUGCAGCUAUUGCAAGAAUUGAACAUUUUUGAAAACAUUAAAAAUAUGAUUUACUUGCGUAUAUGUUUGCAGCUCAAUUAUUAGAAUUAUUUUAUAUAUUUUUGAUGAAAUUUAAACUGUAAUAUUGAAAUAUUUAACCAAUUCUAUAUGUCGAACACUUAAAAAAAAAUUAAAAAAA